CCUACGGGCGGCUGCAGUGGGGAAUAUUGGACAAUGGGGGGAACCCUGAUCCAGCCAUGCCGCGUGUGUGAAGGAGGCCCUCGGGUUGUAAAGCACUUUCAGUGAGGAAGAACGCCUGGUGGUUAAUACCCAUCAGGAAAGACAUCACUCACAGAAGAAGCACCGGCUAACUCCGUGCCAGCAGCCGCGGUAAUACGGAGGGUGCGAGCGUUAAUCGGAAUUACUGGGCGUAAAGCGCGCGUAGGUGGCUUGAUAAGCCGGUUGUGAAAGCCCCGGGCUCAACCUGGGAACGGCAUCCGGAACUGUCAAGCUAGAGUGCAGGAGAGGAAGGUAGAAUUCCCGGUGUAGCGGUGAAAUGCGUAGAGAUCGGGAGGAAUACCAGUGGCGAAGGCGGCCUUCUGGACUGACACUGACACUGAGGUGCGAAAGCGUGGGUAGCAAACAGGAUUAGAUACCCGUGUAGUC
rnacentral:rRNA from 1 species